AGAGAGAGAGAGAGAGCUUCGUCUUGACUUUGUCAUGAAUUUGAUGAGGAGUGGAGCUGGCUGGCUGCGGACGAGGAAGUAGGGCAAUAUAUACAUGUGCACAUACACAUAAAUGAGAAUGCAUAUUUUUCAGAACUGUAAUUCAUGUCUUAGACUUUUUCACACAGCUAUAGAUACAUUCCCCCCCAAUUCUCUGUUUAUGGUUUCAUAAUGACUGAGUCACUGUUAAAACAAAUGAGUUUCAGCUCUAAUGCUGCUUCUGUCUGUAAUA